rnacentral:rRNA from 1 species
CAUAGGUUAAUGAGGCGAACCGGGGGAACUGAAACAUCUAAGUACCCCGAGGAAAAGAAAUCAACCGAGAUUCCCCCAGUAGCGGCGAGCGAACGGGGAGGAGCCCAGAGCCUGAAUCAGUGUGUGUGUUAGUGGAAGCGUCUGGAAAGGCGCGCGAUACAGGGUGACAGCCCCGUACACAAAAAUGCACAUGCUGUGAGCUCGAUGAGUAGGGCGGGACACGUGGUAUCCUGUCUGAAUAUGGGGGGACCAUCCUCCAAGGCUAAAUACUCCUGACUGACCGAUAGUGAACCAGUACCGUGAGGGAAAGGCGAAAAGAACCCCGGCGAGGGGAGUGAAAAAGAACCUGAAACCGUGUACGUACAAGCAGUGGGAGCCUCUUAAUGGGGUGACUGCGUACCUUUUGUAUAAUGGGUCAGCGACUUAUAUUCUGUAGCAAGGUUAACCGAAUAGGGGAGCCGAAGGGAAACCGAGUCUUAACUGGGCGUUAAGUUGCAGGGUAUAGACCCGAAACCCGGUGAUCUAGCCAUGGGCAGGUUGAAGGUUGGGUAACACUAACUGGAGGACCGAACCGACUAAUGUUGAAAAAUUAGCGGAUGACUUGUGGCUGGGGGUGAAAGGCCAAUCAAACCGGGAGAUAGCUGGUUCUCCCCGAAAGCUAUUUAGGUAGCGCCUCGUGAAUUCAUCUCCGGGGGUAGAGCACUGUUUCGGCAAGGGGGUCAUCCCGACUUACCAACCCGAUGCAAACUGCGA